GAGGAUGAUCAGCCACACUGGAACUGAGACACGGUCCAGACUCCUACGGGAGGCAGCAGUGGGGAAUAUUGCACAAUGGGCGCAAGCCUGAUGCAGCCAUGCCGCGUGUGUGAAGAAGGCCUUCGGGUUGUAAAGCACUUUCAGUUGUGAGGAAGGUGGUAGUGUUAAUAGCACUAUCAUUUGACGUUAGCAACAGAAGAAGCACCGGCUAACUCCGUGCCAGCAGCCGCGGUAAUACGGAGGGUGCGAGCGUUAAUCGGAAUUACUGGGCGUAAAGCGCAUGCAGGUGGUUUGUUAAGUCAGAUGUGAAAGCCCGGGGCUCAACCUCGGAACUGCAUUUGAAACUGGCAGACUAGAGUACUGUAGAGGGGGGUAGAAUUUCAGGUGUAGCGGUGAAAUGCGUAGAGAUCUGAAGGAAUACCGGUGGCGAAGGCGGCCCCCUGGACAGAUACUGACACUCAGAUGCGAAAGCGUGGGGAGCAAACAGGAUUAGAUACCCUGGUAGUCCACGCUGUAAACGAUGUCUACUUGGAGGUUGUGGCCUUGAGCCGUGGCUUUCGGAGCUAACGCGUUAAGUAGACCGCCUGGGGAGUACGGUCGCAAGAUUAAAACUCAAAUGAAUUGACGGGGGCCCGCACAAGCGGUGGAGCAUGUGGUUUAAUUCGAUGCAACGCGAAGAACCUUAC
rnacentral:rRNA from 1 species